GGAGGAAACUCUGAACCAGCUAUGCCGCGUGUAGGAUGACAGUCUUUUAGAUUGUAAACUACUUUUACAUAGAAAUAAAAGUUACUACGGGAUGGUAACCUGAAGGUACUAUGAGAAUAAGUGUCGGCUAAUUUCGUGCCAGCAGCCGCGGUAAAACGAAAGACACAAGCGUUAUCCGGAUUUAUUGGGUUUAAAGGGUGUGUAGGUUGUUUAUUAAGUCAGUAGUGAAAGCUUACAGCUUAACUGUAAAAUUGCUAUUGAUACUGAUAAUCUUGAGUCAGAUUGGAGCGUCUGGAAUGUAUGGUGUAGCGGUGAAAUGCAUAGAUAUCAUACAGAACACCAAUAGCGAAGGCAGGAUGCUAAAUCUUCACUGACACUGAGGCACGAAAGCGUGGGUAGCAAACAGGAUUAGAUACCCUGGUAGUCCACGCCCUAAACUAUGAUCACUAGCUAUUGGAAAAAUUAUAUUCAGUGGCCAAGCUAAAGCGAUAAGUGAUCCACCUGGGAAGUACGAUCGCAAGAUUGAAACUCAAAGGAAUUGACGGGGUUUCGCACAAGCGGUGGAGCAUGUGGUUUAAUUCGAUGAUACGCGAGGAACCUUACCAAGGUUUAAAUGUAUUACGAAUAAGCUGGAAACAACUUAGUCUAUAAGACGUAAUACAAGGUGCUGCAUGGUUGUCUUCAGUUCGUGCUGUGAAGUGUUUGGUUAAGUCCUAUAACGAGCGCAACCCUUAUUGUUAGUUGCCAUCGGGUAAAGCCGGGGACUCUAACAAAACUGCCGGUGUAAAUCGAGAGGAAGGUGGGGAUAAUGUCAAAUCAUCAUGGCCUUUAUGCCUUGGGCUACACACGUGCUACAAUGGCUGGUACAAAGGGCAGCCA
rnacentral:rRNA from 1 species